AUUUAUAGCAAAAUAUAUUAGAUUUAUUUAUAUAUUAUAAAUACAUAAAUCAUAUAAAAAUAAAUAUAUAACAAUAAAUAACACUUCUGUCCAUAUGUGAUACCCAGUGCAAGGGAAAUUCCAGAGACUGAUAAAAAAAAAAAAAACCUGUUGCACUUCUGCAAAUCCAGCAUCAAGCAUGGCUGCUAAACUAUUAAUAAUCAUUUAGGUGAUUUGAGUAAUUGCUUAAAUGUAAUACAAAACAAAGAGGGAAAAAUCUGCUAACAAAACGUACUGUAUGUCACACAAGUAAACAAACACAGUCCACACACGCCUAACAAACACACACCCUGCUCAAAUGGUACGUCAUUUCUACAGGUGUCACUUGUUAGAAGCAGGAUCUUUCCUCUCUGCUUUGUUGACACAUAACAGCACAGCCAUAAAAGACGACGACAAUCGUUAGAUGAGUGACGCCGACAUAGGGGAUCAACCUCUGCCGGAUUGUCCCAAUGAUGUCAUUACCAGCUUGCUGCCUCAAACACGGACUGAUUAUUUAAUAAAUGAUUUAGUUUUCCAUUGACACAAGCACACAGGGACACAGGGGGUAUUCUAGAUGGAGUGAAAAAGACGUGACUCAUAGUGCAGCAAAUGGUAAGAGAGUGGACAAAUAUGGGCUCUGCACUCUACUUCACAGCAGACAGAUCCGCCAGGGCUGGACGAAAGCGUGUGGACCGGAUCGAGAGCGGUUGAGACCACACUGGAACCCGCAGGGACCCUGAAGGUGUUCUGUCGGCAUGCCAACAUUGCCAUGCUGAUUCAUUCUCCAUGUACCGCAACCCAAACCCUCCUACAAGCCCCAGCAUUUAACUUGUUGCGGCAGCAGUCACCCUGCAGAUCCGAUUCCUCACAGCUGACACAUCAACCCAGACAAACAUAACAGAUCUCAAAACUGUUCCUAAACAUCUAUAUAUACUUACAGUACGAAUAUGAGUUGAAAUUGCACAAAUUACACAAAUGCUUCUUUUUCUCUAGCAGUGGUUUAGUAAGUUGUUCUCGAAUAUAAAAAAAAAAUUCAAAAGGGCUUUCACAGAGAAUGCCACAGUAGAACCAUUUUGGGUUUCUCAAAAUAACUUUUCAGAGAACAGUUGUGAAAAUAACUGUUUUUUUUUUUUAAAUAAAUCUGAAGGACAUUCUAAUAAUCUAAAAAAAACUUACUCCACUAUAAUGUGGAAUGGAAAUGUUCCAUGGAUUUUUAAGGUUCUUCAUGGAACCUUUAUUUAUAAGAGUGUGGUUAGUUCUCAUAUCCUUAUUAAAUUAGAAUAUCUUUAUGAAUUAUGUCCUUUAAACUAA
ensembl:lncRNA